UUUGCUAUCAUUCUAGGCAAUUCAAAACAAUUGAUGGUUCACCGGCUUACGUUGACGGCGUGAUGGACGUGAUUCAAGUGGAUCCUGGUGUUAUAUUCGCAGAUGUGAUAUUGAAGUUGCUUGAUAAGAGGAUUGACAUUGGCAGAAUGUGGUACAAGCUACCAUUUGAAUAUUUAGGAGAGAAGCAUCCUCUCUGGGAAAAUGUGGAUGCAAAUAAGAAAAAGAUGCAGGCAGCAGGGCGUUGGAUGAGAGAGCUGGACAUUUAUGUUGAGAAACCAUUUGUUGAGGAGUUACAAAUGGAGAUUGGCACAAUGUUACCUCAAGAUAAUCAGAGUGAUGGAGAAAAUGACCCGACAUAUGAACCUGAAAGUGAAAAUGAUGCAUUAGAUGAUGACGCUAGUGAUGAAGAAGAUGGUUUAUCUGAUAAUGCAGAAUCAGCGGAUGAGGAUGAGGUUGGUGAAGGAGAUAUAGAGGUGUUUAACCAUGACAGUUAUGAAGAACAAAUUCCAGAUGAGGAUGAUGUCUACCCUCCUACUGAUGAUUCGUCUGGUGAUGAAGAAGAAUAGGCAGAGAGGUUAGUCAAACGAAACUUACCUGAUGGUGUGUUCAGCACAAGGCAAAUAUUUUCUAGUGGUCAGGAGUUUAAGCAGAAUGUGAUCAAAUAUAUAUUGAAGACAAGGAAAAACGUUGUGUAUGAUAGAUGGGAAAAGGAAAGACUUCGUGCUAAGUGUUUUGAAAAAGGCUGUGGAUGGCAUAUAUAUUGUGCCAUUGAGAAUCCAAUAGGGAAAUGGAUGGUGAAAACAUACUAUGAUGAGCAUCAAUGUCAUCCGGUGGGAAGAUGUAAGCAAAUAAAGAGCUCUGUGGUUGUGGACUUAUUUCUUGAAGACAUAAGAAGAGACCCUGAGAUGAGUGCUCCGGAGAUCAAAGACGAGAUGAAGAGGAGAUACAACAUUAUCAUCACACCUUCACAGUCACAAUCAGCAAGAAGAAGGGCAGUUAAGAAGCGGCAAGACAAAUGCAAUGAGCAGUUUUCAAGGCUUAGGGAUUAUCAAUAUCAACUCACCAAGACAAUGGUCGGUAGUACAGUGGAAAUUAACACUACAGCCAGAGCAGAUGGAACAGAUGAAUUCGCAAAAUGAGAGAUCUUACCUCAUUGUAACGAGAUUCGAGUUCGAUUCAUGAUAUAGGAAAAAGAAGGUCAAUAAGAUAAACACGUGGAGGGCUGAGAUUAGAAGUUUAAAUCAAUGGCUGAGAUUAGCUUGAGCUCAAAGAUGCUUAAAGAGAAGCAACAAGCUGAACUGGAUCAUUCAUGAGAUUUGUGUGUUGAGUGUUAUCUUCUUCUUCUUCUUAGUUUCUUAAAUCUGUGAUCAUGGUGUUGUACUCAUCUAGCUAGAUCUGUUUCUUCUAUCUAUGCUCAAGCUUGUGAGAUUUGGAUUCUCGUUUUAAGAACGACGAUUUAAUUUGUGUUUGAUUUUCAAGUAUUCGAUUAAGUUGCAGUUUCUCUGCAACAAAGGUAUCAGAUCCAUUCGAUUCUCCGGAAGCCAUGGCGGAAACAAGAGCUCACUCAUCGCGGAAGGAGGCACUAGUUCGUGAUUUAGAUGAAUCAAGGUUCGGGCGAUCCAAUCACGCCGCUGUUCGUAAUCGAUUUCGAUCUUCACAAGCAUUUGCGAGUUUAACUUCAGAUCCGAAAUUUGGGAAGUGCUCAGGUAUUCCUAACUCUUACGAUGAUGCUACACAGACUGAGAAAUUAUAUUUCCCUAGGUUUAAUGGUGAUACGAUUCAAGAGUGGUUGGUCCUCGUCGAGCAAUUCUUUGAGAUAGACCGAACAAUGGAUGAGUUGAAAGUAGGUUUAGCAUCUGUUCAUUUAGAUGCUCUCGCAACUACUUGUCACCAAUCACUUUCACAAUCAGUUUUGUGGGAUCAUGUUAAAUGUAAUUAGGGGCUUUACAAAAUGCUAUUGGAAGGUAAAUAUUAUAAGCUGAUGGAUGAUAUUGCAGAACUGAAACAGUUGCAUGAAACAGAAGGAAUUGAGGAGUAUCGUGAAAAAUUUGUGUUGAUUAAGUCUCGUUUGGACCUAUCUGAAUCAUACUUGGUUAGUGUUUAUUUAGAAGGGCUGAGAAGUGAUACUUAAAGGAAUGUUAGGAUGUUUCAACCUCAGACAAUUCAGCAGUGUUUAUUGAUAGGAAGGUUAUAUGAGACUGCUCAUCCAACAAGAGUGAUUACCAAAAAAGAGAGUGAUGAUUUUCCAAAGGCAGCUCAGCCCUCAAAUGUUUCAAGUCAACCUGAGGAUUUUAGCAAUUGGUCUGGUGCUAAAUGGAGUAGAAGUAGCAUUCAAUAUAAAGGGAUUUUAGCAUCCAAACCAGAGCAUGAUCAUCAAACAGUUCUUCCUACUAUGGAGAAACCUAAAGAUGAAGUACAUGUGGUGAAGGUUGCAUUGGAGGAUACCAAAGUUAGAGCUUAUAUUUCUGUUAUGCCAUUUCAAGAGUUUUUGAUCACCAAUCGAUGAGGGUGAAGGGUUCUUAUGGGAAACAAGUCUUGUCUAUUCUCAUUGACUCUCAUUCUACACACAACUUCAUGGAUACCAAGGUGGCUGAGAAGUUGAAUUGUGUUUUAGAAUCUGCAAGUAUUGCUCAAGUUUCAGUAACAGAUGGGAGAUUGUUGGGGGUUGAUGCUACAAUAGAUAAGUUCCAAUGGGAGUUUAGAGGCACAACGUUUCAGGCUGAUCUUGUGGUUCUUCCUUUGGUUGGGUGUGAUAUGGUGUUAGGCAAUCAAUGGUUGGACACUUUGGGGCCAAUAACUUGUGAUUUUAAGAAGUUAGUGAUGCAUUUUCAUAUAGGACAUAAGAAAAUUCUUCUUCAGGGUAUUAGGCAAGGUUCUGUUAGAGACAAGAAGGCCAUUAAGCUUAAUAAGCUGAGGGAAGCUCAACUUUCCAUGAUAGGUGUUCCUGAAGUUCCUGCCAAAGAACAUAUGUUAGUGUGCUCUUUGAAAGCUAAACAUCAAUCUGACCAAGAAAGUUCUAAAGAGGAGCAAAGGGUUCAACAAGAGUCUUUGGGUGGGGGAAAGAAACUGUUGCCUAAGCUGUUAGAUGAAGUUUAUAUGACUAUGAUCAUAGAUGAUCAACAACCUGUUGUCCCAUAAACUUUGAGUCCAGUCUUUGAUGAUUUCUCUUUGGAAGUGGCUGAGUUUUGUAAGUAUUAUAGGUGGAAGCAACUACUCUCUCCAAAAUCUUGGAUGUUCAAAUACAGAUCUGCUAAGGAAAAUAUAUGGUGUCGUGAAAAGCAAAGUUGGUUCAACACUUGGAGAAAAAACGUACGCGGGAAGAACAUCGAUAAUGUUGGUGUGGAAAACUGUUUGCAGCAACAAGAAUGGAACGUGAUAGGGCGUUCCAAAUAAAGCACAAAUGGCGUUGUAAACUCUUGCCAUUGUUCUUAGAGUUGAAGACUGGUUGUUCUAAUGAGUGAGGGGUUGAUACAAAUCUGAGCAGCCGUCUACUCUUUGCAGCCUUCAAUGGGAGUAUACAAGGCCUAGCUUGUCGAGCCAAAUUUUUCCUUCCGCUGCGUCACCCAUGCACAACUUCACAAUUCCGUAAAGGUACAUACCAUUCUCAUAACUAUCUUCUGCCGCCUUCUUCAAGUGUUCCUGCCCUGUUUGUUGUUCGUUCGAAAAUACUCUUGGAUCCCUUUGAUAUAGUGAGCCUCAACAUUUCCACUUGCAAUGCAUUUUUCCAUGAGGUCUUGGUAUCUCGUUAGUGCUGCUAGUGGAUUCAUCGCCAGGGGCCUUAGGUUUAUUGGUUUAUAUUCUUGUAGACUCGGUGAUCUUGGGCUGCCUUGGCUAGAUGUGGUGAUGCUUGCAUAACAUUUCUCAUGGUAGUGCGUGAAAUCUUAGUAACUUGAGAGAUUAUAUGUCCGAGACGUCGUUUGGUAGUUCUUCAAGGGAAUAGUGUGUGUUUCGCAGCAUUUUUUGCAAGUUGUGUGUGAUUUUUAGGUUCAUACUUAUUCCUACUGUUGUUUAUAGGCUGGACGAUAUGUCGCGCUACGCGUGAAUUAAUUUUUAAAAUUUAUAAGACAAUCCUAAAGUGUUAAUAAAUUUUUCUGUAGCUAUUUUAUUUUGUAGAUUUUUUUUUGAACAAUAUCUAAUGUAGUUUGAAUAUUUUCUUUUACUUUUGUUAAUGAUAUUAGUUAGCUGGGUUUCUGAA